rnacentral:rRNA from 1 species
CUCAUAGCGUAUAUUAAGUUGUUGCAGUUAAAAAGCUCGUAGUUGAACUUCUGGCUAUUCUUCCAGCUGGCUUCGGUCGCUGUAAGAGUGGUCAUCCGCUUGGGAACUACGUUCGAACUUCACUGUUCGGCGUAAGGAACAGGCAUUUUACUUAGAAAAAAUUAGAGUGUUCAAGGCAGGCUAUCGCCCUGAAUACACAAGCUUGGAAUAAUGAAAUAGGACUACUUCCAUUUUAUUGGUUAUUGGAAUUAGUAAUGAUUAAUAGGGACAGUUGGGGACAUUAGUAUUUAAUUGUCAGAGGUGAAAUUCUUGGAUUUAUUAAAGACUAACUUAUGCGAAAGCAUUUGUCAAGGAUGUUUUCAUUAAUCAAGAACGAAAGUUAGGGGAUCAAAGACGAUCAGAUACCGUCCUAGUCUUAACUAUAAACUAUACCGACUAGGGAUUGGCCGGGUCUCUUUAACCGGGUCAGCACCUUAUGAGAAAUCAAAGUCUAUGGGUUCUGGGGGGAGUAUGGUCGCAAGGCUGAAACUUAAAGGAAUUGACGGAAGGGCACCACCAGGAGUGGAGCCUGCGGCUUAAUUUGACUCAACACGGGGAAACUUACCAGGUCAAGACAUAAGUGGGAUUGACAGAUUGAGAGCUCUUUCUUGAUUCUAUGGGUG